GAUGAACGCUGGCGGCGUGCUUAACACAUGCAAGUCGAACGAGAAAUGGAGACGGAAAUCUUCGGGAGGAAGGCUUCAUUUCUAGUUGCGGACGGGUGAGUAACGCGUGGGUAACCUGCCUCAUACAGGGGGAUAACAGUAGGAAACGACUGUUAAUACCGCAUAAGACUACAGCACCGCAUGGUGCGGGGGUAAAAACUCCGGUGGGAUGAGAUGGACCCGCGUUCGAUUAGCCAGUUGGCGGGGGAACGGCCCGGCACAGCGACGAUCGAUAGCCGAUCUGAGAGGAUGACCGGCCACGUUGGGACUGAGACACGGCCCAAACUCCGACGCAAGGCAGCAGUGGGGAAUACUACACGAUGAGGGAAGACGUGAUGCAGCGACGCCGCGUGAGUGAAGAAGUACUUCGGUAUGUAAAGCUCUAUCAGCAGGGAAGAAAAUGACGGUAGCUGAGUAAGAAGCCCCGGCUAACUACGUG
rnacentral:rRNA from 1 species